rnacentral:rRNA from 1 species
UACGAAGGGGGCUAGCGUUGCUCGGAAUGACUGGGCGUAAAGGGCGCGUAGGCGGCGUCACAGUCAGAUGUGAAAUUCCUGGGCUUAACCUGGGGGCUGCAUUUGAUACGUGGUUGCUUGAGUGGGGAAGAGGGUCGUGGAAUUCCCAGUGUAGAGGUGAAAUUCGUAGAUAUUGGGAAGAACACCGGUGGCGAAGGCGGCGACCUGGUCCUUGACUGACGCUGAGGCGCGAAAGCGUGGGGAGCAAACAGG